CGCGUAGGCGGGUUCUCAAGUCAGGGGUGAAAUCCUCCAGCUUAACUGGAGAAGUGCCUUUGAUACUGGGAAUCUCGAGGGAGGUAGGGGCGUGCGGAACUUCGGGUGGAGCGGUGAAAUGCGUAGAUAUCCGAAGGAACACCGGUGGCGAAAGCGGCGCGCUGGACCUCUUCUGACGCUGAGGCGCGAAAGCCAGGGGGAGCAAACGG
rnacentral:rRNA from 1 species